GCCCAGGAUCACCUCUCCAGCCCCCAGGUACCCGUCAGGCUCCACCAUCUACAAAGAGUCGAGGGAGGUUUGAAGUCAGGAGCACGUGGCCUGGCAGGUUGCAUUUGUGAGAGGUCCUCGUCUGUAAUUGUGAAGUCAAGGAUGUGAAACUCGGCCUGAACACAGCUGGAAUUGCUGCUGAGAGCACGCCGUAUUUCUGUGUAGCCACCAGAAGCAAAGGAGCAAGGAGGAGUAUAAGCUUAGGAAAAAGCCCUGCGAAGAAGAUUAAAGACAGUCUUUAUAUAAAAAGUGAGGACAAGUCUGAGUGUGGAAGGUGUUCGGAUGCCUAAAAUACUUCAAGAAGGAAAGCAACAAUCUGUCAACAACCUCUGACCCUCUUGCUGAGCAGGGCACGGGGUAAUGUGCUUGCCAAGAGGGUGCUGGGCUGCAUGGAGACGCUUCUUGGACUCCAGCACCAGAGCUCCUUAAGAACUCACUAGACGAGCAUCUGUUAGGGCUAACAAAAAUAUGCUUGCACCUGUCUGGAGGGUGGAGAGAGGAUUUCCAGCCCCUUUCUGCAGCUUUUAUUUGGCUGCCAGGUUGUCAGCAGUUCCUUCCAGUUUUCAGUUUUAUUUGAUCGCAGAUGACAUCUUAACCCCAAAACGGUCCAUGUUUGGGGCACAGAGCAGAAAUCUCGUGAGCUUACCGAACAGCAGCUCUCUGAAGCAGUAGUAUCAGAGUGCUUUUAAUGUUAAGAUGGGAAGAGAUGUCUCAUGGAGCAUGGCUGUGCUCCUUGUUGUUUGGCAAUGAGGUGUCUUUGUUGCCCGAAACUGCAGCAGCCGGUCUGGCUGUUCCUGGCCAGGGCCUCCUGGCGUGGCCGGCACCUCUUGGCCAGAUCUGCGGUUCAGUACUUGCACUAAAUCUCGUGUGGCAACAAAGAAUUACUCUUUUUCAAUAUAUUGACAUGUCUGCUAGGAGAAAUCUUUCCUUAGCCAACCCAGACAAGAUGUGGUAUCAGGGAAGUAUCUCAGCUUCUGCUAUUCAAACACUUUUUUUUUUUUCUCUAUCGCUGUUCAAAAAUUCUAAGUUCAUUUAAAUUCCGAGUUCAUUUAAGCUCUCAGAUUCAAAUCAAGGAUUUCUCAUGUAUUUUAAAUUCUUUUGUGUGAUCUGGGAGAAAAGCAUCAACUUCUGUUUGUUCUUGAUGUGCUGGAUAUGGCUCCCUCAUGUAUGUCGGUGAGCCUUUGGCACUGUGUGGAAAAGCACCCUAAGGUUAUUAAAGCUUUUAUCUGCUCUAUUCAUUCUGUAUUACAAAGAAAAAUCUGAGCCCACAUCUUUAGCUACUGUAAGUUUGAGGAAUUCCUUUGAAGUUUGCUCUCUUAAUAUGCAUAUAAUAAUGAAUCAUGAUAAUUUCAGUGAAAAUCUGGUAAUUCUGAUGUUUUCUUUUUUUAUAACAAUAAUGAUGAAUUUGAUCACUCCUUGGUAAGAUCAAAAGCUGUCAGACACUCCUCUUUGUUUUAUCAGUAUAAUGAAAACACAAGCUUUAAAAAGUUCAAAUGCCUGAACACACAGUAGCUGAAAGAAACCUCAUCUGUCUGAAUUAUACAUUAGUAUGGACUGUAACAACCCAAAUUAUCUUUGUAUGUAUAUUGCUGCGAGGGAAAGUGCUAACUGAUGAAUGCAGUGACUCCAGUAAUGUU